rnacentral:tRNA from 1 species
UGGCUCAGUUAUUAGAGCAUGGUGUUUGCAACGCCAGCAUGGUGUGUGCAACGCCAGGGUUGUGGGUUCGAUUCCCAC